rnacentral:rRNA from 1 species
AUUGAACGCUGGCGGCAUGCCUUACACAUGCAAGUCGAACGGUAACAGGUCUUCGGAUGCUGACGAGUGGCGAACGGGUGAGUAAUACAUCGGAACGUGCCCGAGAGUGGGGGAUAACGAAGCGAAAGCUUUGCUAAUACCGCAUACGAUCUCAGGAUGAAGGCAGGGGACCGCAAGGCCUUGCGCUCACGGAGCGGCCGAUGGCAGAUUAGGUAGUUGGUGGGAUAAAAGCUUACCAAGCCGACGAUCUGUAGCUGGUCUGAGAGGACGACCAGCCACACUGGGACUGAGACACGGCCCAGACUCCUACGGGAGGCAGCAGUGGGGAAUUUUGGACAAUGGGCGCAAGCCUGAUCCAGCCAUGCCGCGUGCAGGAUGAAGGCCUUCGGGUUGUAAACUGCUUUUGUACGGAACGAAAAGACUCCUUCUAGUAAAGGGGGUCCAUGACGGUACCGUAAGAAUAAGCACCGGCUAACUACGUGCCAGCAGCCGCCGUAAGAC